UGGCGGACGGGUGAGUAACACGUGGGUAACCUGCCUAAAAGAAGGGGAUAACACUUGGAAACAGGUGCUAAUACCGUAUAUCUCUAAGGAUCGCAUGAUCCUUAGAUGAAAGAUGGUUCUGCUAUCGCUUUUAGAUGGACCCGCGGCGUAUUAACUAGUUGGUGGGGUAACGGCCUACCAAGGUGAUGAUACGUAGCCGAACUGAGAGGUUGAUCGGCCACAUUGGGACUGAGACACGGCCCAAACUCCUACGGGAGGCAGCAGUAGGGAAUCCUCCACAAUGGACGCAAGUCUGAUGGAGCAACGCCGCGUGAGUGAAGAAGGUCUUCGGAUCGUAAAACUCUGUUGUUAGAGAAGAACACGAGUGAGAGUAACUGCUCAUUCGAUGACGGUAUCUAACCAGCAAGUCACGGCUAACUACGUGCCAGCAGCCGCGGUAAUACGUAGGUGGCAAGCGUUGUCCGGAUUUAUUGGGCGUAAAGGGAACGCAGGCGGUCUUUUAAGUCUGAUGUGAAAGCCUUCGGCUUAACCGGAGUAGUGCAUUGGAAACUGGAAGACUUGAGUGCAGAAGAGGAGAGUGGAACUCCAUGUGUAGCGGUGAAAUGCGUAGAUAUAUGGAAGAACACCAGUGGCGAAAGCGGCUCUCUGGUCUGUAACUGACGCUGAGGUUCGAAAGCGUGGGUAGCAAACAGGAUUAGAUACCCUGGUAGUCCACGCCGUAAACGAUGAAUGCUAGGUGUUGGAGGGUCUCCGCCCUUCAUGCCGCAGCUAACGCAAUAAGCAUUCCGCCUGGGGAGUAC
rnacentral:rRNA from 1 species